CAGUCAGUGAUGCAUUAAAGUACAGUUCAGAAAUGAAACUUACUUAUAAAAUGCAUUUAACAAUGCUGCUGAACUGUUUUUGUGUAUUUAAAGACAUCGAACACACCAAACUAUCAUUUUUUGGCAUAUUAGGUUGUUGUCCUUGAUCAUUAGGUUAUGUGGAAACACACUCGGAAUCAAAUAAAUUAAACAAAUCAAAUAAAUGAAACAAAUAAAAUAAAUGAAACAUUAAAAACUACAACUUUUUCUGAAUAAUUACUUUUUGUGACUUUAUAAAAUGUUCAAUUGAAUGUAUUAUAAAAAAGGAUGAAUCUCUUGUACUUACAGUCAACGAUGAGUUUGGUGCCUCCACCGAAAGUGUACCACAGUGACACAGACUCAUUGAACAGCCGUACAAAAACCUCCUGCACUUUACACACACCAGUAACUCUCUACACAACACAUUCAACCCUACCACUGAUUGUCGGUCAAAAACAGCAUGUGUAGGUCAUAACUUUUCAAAUUAGUUAUUUUAUAUUAUUACUUUUUGCUGAAUUCCCCCCUGACUAUAAAAUAUAAAUGUUGGAGAUCUGUAAUAUCUCUGACAAACUCACUAAGUAUAAGAAGCAGCCAUGUAGAAUAGAAAUACACCAGUAUUUAAUGAAAAAAGUUACAUGUAACUAAAUACUGUAGUUAAUUCCAGGCCUUCAAACAGAUUCAGGUAAGCUAUUUCCUUCCAUGUUUAAUAUUGUUAUUGUGUUGCAUUAACAGUUUCAUCAUCUGUCCUGAGGUAGGGUGUUUCCAUAGAGGAGGUGCUUUGCAUCGGCAGCUCAUGCUUCAGUGCUCUGGGAGUGUUUAUAGCCCUGUGAGUUUCAGACUGCAGGACUGAGAUCUGUCCAUCAACACAACAGAAACCACGACAACCAUGACUCUGAUCACCAUCUUUAUCUGGACCCUGGUCUGCUGCUGCCUCAAAGGAUCCGGAGGUCAGGUGACUGUGACUCAGCCUCCUGUAGUGACAUUUUCUCCAGGAGACCCUGUCACUCUGACCUGUACAACCAACCCUAAAGUGUACAGAUGGGAUGAUGGAGAUGAGGGUGUGUUCUGGUAUCAACAGAGACCUGGAGAAGCUAUCAAACUCCUGAUAAUAUACGCAAAGAAACUGCUAGGUGGGAUUCCUGCUAGAUUCAGUGGCAGUGGGUCUGAGAGGGACUUCACUCUGACCAUCAGUGGAGUCCAGGCUGAAGAUGCUGCAGUUUACUACUGUCAGAGUUACCACAGUGGUAAUGUGUUCACACAGUGAUUUAGAGAC